GCCUUCGUGGUGUAAUGGUCAGCACACUGAGCCGGUAUUUCAGAGGUCCGCGGUUCGAUCCCCGGCGAAGGCG
rfam:Stegodyphus mimosarum contig67913, whole genome shotgun sequence.